rnacentral:rRNA from 1 species
AUGCCCCAGUAACGGCGAGUGAAGCGGCAAGAGCUCAAAUUUGAAAUCUGGCCUCCCCCGGGGGUCCGAGUUGUAAUUUGCAGAGGAUGCUUCGGGCGCGGCCCCCGUCUAAGUUCCUUGGAACAGGACGUCAGAGAGGGUGAGAAUCCCGUCUUGGGCGGGCGGCCCGCGCCCGUGUGAAGCUCCUUCGACGAGUCGAGUUGUUUGGGAAUGCAGCUCUAAGCGGGUGGUAAAUUUCAUCUAAAGCUAAAUACCGGCCGGAGACCGAUAGCGCACAAGUAGAGUGAUCGAAAGGUUAAAAGCACCUUGAAAAGGGAGUUAAACAGCACGUGAAAUUGUUGAAAGGGAAGCGCUUGCGGCCAGACUCGGGGGGCGGGGUUCAGCGGGCGCUCGUCGCCCGUGCACUGCCCGCUCCCCGGGCCAGCAUCAGCUUCGACGGCCGGUCAAAGGCCCCCGGAAUGUGUCGUCUCUAGGGACGUCUUAUAGCCGGGGGUGCAAUGCGGCCCGUCGAGACUGAGGAACGCGCUCCGGCUCGGAUGC